rnacentral:rRNA from 1 species
UCUCCGGGAGGCAGCAGUGAGGAAUAUUUGUCAAUGGACGAGAGUCUGAACCAGCCAAGUAGCGUGAAGGAUGACUGCCCUAUGGGUUGUACACUUCUUUUAUAUGGGAAUAAAAUGUUCCACGUGUGGGAUUUUGUAUGUACCAUAUGACUCAGGAUCGGCUAACUCCGUGCCAGCAGCCGCGGGAAUCCGGGGGAUCCGAGCGUUAUCCGGAUUUAUUGGGUUUAAAGUGAGCGUAGGUGGAUUGUUAAGUCCGUUGUGAAAGUUUGCGGCUCAACCGUAAAAUUGCAGUUGAAACUGGCAGUCUUGAGUACAGUAGAGGUGGGCGGAAUUCGUGGUGUAGCGGUGAAAUGCUUAGAUAGCACGAAGAACUCCGAUUGCGAAGGCAGCUCACUGGACUGCAACUGACACUGAGGCUCGAAAGUGUGGGUAUCAAACAGGAUUAGAUACCCUUGUAGUC